AACGUAGGAGACAAACGUUAUCCGGAGUUACUGGGCGUAAAGGGCGUGUAGGUGGUUUCGUAAGUCUGGCGUGAAAUUUUUCGGCUUAACCGGGAAAGGUCGUCGGAUACUGCGGGACUGGAGGAUGGUAGAGGCGUGUGGAAUUCCGGGUGUAGUGGUGAAAUGCGUAGAGAUCCGGAGGAACACCAGUGGCGAAGGCGACACGCUGGGCCGUACCUGACACUGAUGCGCGACAGCAUGGGGAGCAAACAGG
rnacentral:rRNA from 1 species